CGUGGGGUCAGGAAUGCGUAAAUAUCGUUCUCAGUGUUACGUGCGUGGGCGUAGUACGUGCGACGGACAGACUGGUCGGUUCUCAGCAGAUAGAACGUUGCAACAGCUAUCCGCCAGAACAACGUAGUUCGGUUUCGAGUGUCACGUACCUGGUGGCCUCUGGGGACCGGUUUGUACCGGCGGUAUCAAGCUGCUGGGCCUGCUGGGACCCAUCGGAGGUCUGAUCCUAGCUGCCGCCACGCUGCCAACGGUUCCAGCACCGAUGCUGAUCUGGAGGCGACUCUGAAAACCCCGUGGAUCCAGGGAGGAGCUCGAGUAGGUCAGGCUCGAGCCCUGCGAUCUGAUAUCGAUCGGCGGCUGUGGCUCCGACGACGGCGGCCUUAAGGUCAGGCUAACCGAGGUGUAGCUUCUGGUGUGGUCGAUUUGAGGACCGGCGUUGUCCACGAUGAGCAACGGAUCCACGUAGUGAGGCCGUGGAUCGACGAUCAGAUCAGUUCGUUUACAGGCGCCACCGAUCGUGGGCACCGUUCGGAAGUCUACAGAUUUAUCAGCGGUUAGAAACUGAUGGGAUUCUCGGCGAAGGGGGUCGUUAAGGGGUAUUGGAGAACGUCCGUUUAUGCGGGCCCCUGUCCGAAGAUGAAGUGGAUGAACAGAGAUAUAAUCCUAGGGUGAAGUUCGAGGUAUCCCCUAAGUUUUUGGACGAAUAGAAGAGGAUCCUUGAUGAAGGGACAUUGGAGAAUGUCUUUUCAGUAGAAACAAUUUAUGCGGGCUUCUGUUCGAAGAUGAGGGUGAAGCGGACGAACAGUAUGAUCCUAAGUCGAGGGUCUUUAGGCUUAGAAUUCCCGUUCCCAUAUGGUAUCCGAGGAACGAUCGGUGCUCAAAAUUGAGACGUCUACCAUGUCCGAUCACAGACAGCUAGCUCCACUUGUUUUCAUGUUUACAGAAAUUACGGCCAGAAGACGCUGCAAUAAGUAGCAAAGGUGGCAAAUAGCCAAACAGCGAUUUCAAUAUGAAUCGCAAUAAUUCCCGAGAAGGCAUCACGGUACCGGAAAAAAAAAGUUCUACGCAAAGAUCACAGUUUCUGAUACAUCCUACGCAUCGUCUCAGGGUAGCUCCAGCAGUUACCAAAAGAAGUCGACGGUUUCGAUGCGAACAUUACUAAAUCGCGGCGAUGACCGAGCGGUCCGCAGGACAUCCGCGUGGCAAGGUCACGACGCGCUGCAACCGGACUUAAAAAUGACCGCUGCCAUCGCUGCACGUGGCAGGAACCUGUUUUAUUCCCGUUUCCAUAUCAACACGACGCACCCGAGCCACGUAAUUUCACGUUGCGCAACCACGCCGCUGCAUGUAUCUAAUUCAUCAACUACGGCUCUGCAACUAUGUUGCAACUCGAAGCCACCGGUUCACGGAAAUGGCUCCGUCGUGACGGACAAACUGCUCCCUCGGGUUGUUGCCGGUGUACGUUAUCUCCGAAACGAGUAAACAUUCUCGCAAACACAUUUGCCUCGGCGCUAAAGCCACUCGGAAGUUACCCUUUCGGUUCUGAGUGGCAAACCGUGUUUCCCAUCAAUCAUUCAACUUCAACGAGGAGAUCGCACUCCGAACGACGAGAGAAAACUACCCGUUGCAAGCCUCGAACCUCUGGUAGCGGAACAACGUCUAGAGACGUCCGACGAAGGUCCUCGAGGCUACGUCAAAGAACAAGGAUUGUAACGUUACUCCGGACCAUGCCCGGAUCAACUUAGCGAUCCUCCAAAAGUCUCUGAACAUAGCCGACGAGGACCACAUCCAACACCACCAGCUGCUAAAGACACUUCGUACUCGCAGGGUUAAGAGAAAAAAUGGGGAGGACUCUGUUCUCGAUGCGUACCGCGAUUGCCAGCAGGACUGCAGGCAACGUUCACGUUCAGCUCGAACGCGGCCGGCUCGCUUCCGGUAUUCGGUACAUGGUUGUUGCAGUUCGCGUCAACAGGUCCUGCGAUGCAAUCGUCGAAGAAGCCCCUGCUGGUGCAGGCUGGCGGCGCGGAGGAGGGUGUCGAAGGGUUACCCGCGAUCGGCGGGGACGAGGAGAUGGCUGCGGCCCGGAUACAGCUUAGGGGACAGCGUCGCGACGCUCCGAUGUCCAGCGACGCUGGCCUGUGUGGGCGCGGGUUGCUCGUGACGGUUCGUUGAGGCUGGCUCAUCGCACAGCAACGUUGCUGCGCGGCCGCUGGGUUUGCUCGUUGCUGGGGUUGCUGAGGGUGUUGUUGUUGCGGCGGUUGUUGUUGUUGCUGGGGCAGCUGAAGAGCGCCGCAGACCGCGGCCGGAGGGAAGGCGCCCGGUGACGGUCGUGACUCUUGCGUGGCACGCAGACUUCUCGCGCAUGUCUCCCGGUCGUGGCUGUUCUGGAACGCACAGACGCAGCAACGGGUCAGCCAGCUUCCGGUCGCCGCGGGACCUUCGAGGCCAGCUUUGCUCGGAAGCUUGCGGCUAAUUUUAGGGGCAACGCCGCGCCGUCUUCCUCCGCAACGGACCACCGCGUCGUCCCGCUUAAACUCGCGCGGUUCCUGAGGGGUUGAUGCGGGCCGCGUUAAACCCCUUGCGGUCCAGCUAGCUAUGGAUCGGGAUGUUUAGUCGAUCGGCUGCCCUGUCUGCGGGCCAUCGAUCCUCUAAGCGGUAUCGUCAGCGUGCAGCGCGAACGAUUAAACAUCCCUUGCUUCGCGGGUAAAGGGUUGAAAAAGUUCACGCGUUUGCUACUGGAUACCUCUAAUUACAAUAUUAACCAUUUGCACUCGAAGCUGUUUCAAGACAUUCUCUACGACCUGCUUCAAUUUUACGCAACUUUCUUCGUUUUAUAUAAUAUCUCUUUAUCGUUGCGCAACAUUUACGUUCUUAACAAUUUAUUAAAGACAAGCGAAUUUAAAAAUGCGAAACUUCUUUUCGAAUAUGUUACGAUACAUUCGACAGCGUCAUUCGAGUGCAAAGGGUUAUCCUUCGUCCGCGAUGAAGUUGCCAUCCGAAAUGCCCCUGUCUAAAUUAAACCACCCCUAAAUCCGAGGUGUCACGCCCGCGUGACGCCAGCAGCGAGCGCGUAAACUGCUCCCGAUCAUUCAUCCAGGGGGAUUACCCUGGCCGAGUGGCUGAACGCAAAUAAAUGCAACAGGUGGACCGCAAGGGGUUAGAGACGUCGAGGUUUCCGCAGUCCUCUAGGAUGAUCCCGAGGCUCGGCAGUGAUUAAUUGUCGUGCAACCGGAAGUGCCGAACGAAGAGUCCGCCGUCACUUCCGUCUUCGUGGGAUUAGAUCAGUAUUUAGUGUGUGUUCCGGUGAUUAGGGUACGUAUCGCGCUGGGUUCGUACCACGCCGACGGAGGAUCAACUUCCAGUAAAAAGACAAACAGUUCUCAGCACAAAGGAGCUUACGUACACACAGGUUCCACGCUCGUGCAACGGGCAGGAUCGUCAGACGGUUCGGACACGUUAAUUCGCAGGACACGGAAAAGAAGCUUGCGGAUCCGCGGGAUGUACGCGCGUGUAUGUUAGUUCGUUAAGGUGCUUCGACUAUCUCAGCGAUGACGGAUGAGAGCGGUGGAGGGGAGGAGGGCAAAUCUUUGCUGGUUAGGGAAGCACACUCUGUGCAACCGGGACGCCGUUCCUGGAGCACUCGAUCGCGACAUCUAUCGUUAAACAAUUUCGUCGAACAUCGAUUAUAGAUUUCAGACAUAGUCUGAAAAGGCUACUGACUAUACUAUCAACUAUUUGAAUGCUCUCUGGCCUGCAAACAAUAUUUUUGAGAAACUAGAAGCAAUUUUUUAAUACUCAAAAGUUGAACAAGAAACGAGACAUUUAUAACAGAGCGAUGCUUUCCUUGUAGAAAUCACGAGAAUAUAUUUAUUGAAAUCGAACACAGCUGUAAUUGAAAAUACUGGCAAGAGUAAAUGAAUUGAUUUCAUCGAA